AAAGUCGUAACAAGGUUUCCGUAGGUGAACCUGCGGAAGGAUCAUUAUUAUUUGGGUCGGGUUUACUUCUAAGAACUUGUUUCAGUUGUUGUCCUAGUAUUUAAGAAGUAAACUUUUACCAAAUAAUCCUAUAUUUCUCCUAUAGGAGCAAGAUAAACUUAUAUUUAAAACCCACACUUUGAAUGUACGUAUUUUUGAAUGAUAAAAUAAAGAUCACUUUCAACAACGGAUCUCUUGGCUCUC
rnacentral:misc_RNA from 1 species